rnacentral:rRNA from 1 species
UCCGAAGGGUGCAAACGUUGCUCGGAAUUAUUGGGCGUAAAGCGCACGUAGGCGGCUUUGCAAGUUCGAUGUGAAAUCCCUCGGCUCAACCAAGGAAGUGCAUCGAAAACUGCAGAGCUUGAGUAGUUAAGAGGAUCGCGGAAUUCCCGGUGUAGAGGUGAAAUUCGUAGAUAUUCGGAGGAACACCAGUGGCGAAGGCGGCUCACUGGUCCAUUACUGACGCUGAGGUGCGAAAGCGUGGGGAGCAAACAGG